AAUGCGUUACCCGAAUGUCUCCAAAUUCUUCGACUAUUUCAGAAGCUGUCAAUCUGUUUUCCUGUUUGUAUGCCAGCAUUUUCAAAGUCAACUCACCUAUAGGAGACGUCGGGAUUUCUGGAAAAACGUAAGAAAAAGACGUUCGUUUUGAAAAUGCGCACCUGAAACUGGAGUCGCUCUGGACGUGAUGUAAUUUGACAACGUUUGGAUGUUUCAAGUUUCGCAGAGCUUCUUCUUCUUUUUCGCUGCCAUCAACAUCCUCCAGCAUAAGUCGUUUAACGGCUACUGGUUCGCGAUUUGGUCCCAAGAAACCGUUGAAGAUGAUCCCAAAUCCUCCUCUACUUAAAACGGUUUUGCUGCAUUCAAAUUCCAUCUCGAAUCAGCUGGCCGAUUGACUAAGCAGUUUUUGAAAUAAAAUUAUUAACGUGAAUUGAAAAAUGGAUUGAAAACUCAAUUUUUACAAGUAUUUACUUGCUACCAACAAAUAUAGAAAGAGAAAUACGGUUUGGUCGCUAUGUGCGAGAGCGUUUCUAGGCGUUUCUAGACAUUUUAUCCUACUUUGUGUGUACCUUUCUGUUUCCUUAUCUUUAUUUUUUUACUAUUGUAGCACCAAAUCACCAGAUAAAUGAUUCGGUUGCUCUGCUGACAAACUGUUAUAAAGCUUUUGUUUAUUUUACCCUUGAUCCCUUAUUUCGCUAUCGUGAUUUCUUAUCAGUUUCACUUUUUGGGACACUCUAUGGUCGUAGAGAACGGUAUGAUUAUUUUCUUAAGUUAUUUAUGGAUUGCUUUCACCAUUUCGCCUAGAUUCAAAUAGCUUGCCGUAAAAAAAAUUCAUCGAAUAGUCUCCUAUUUCUUUCAUAAGUUUCAUUUCGAGCUUAUAUAAACAUUCACCAGUAACAAGGAUUGUUGACUUACUCGUUUUUCUCACGCGCAUAUACCUAGCUGUGCCCUCUCGCGGUAAUGACUAUGGUUUUUAAUUCAUUUUAAAACAAUCAAUAUUAUUAAUAACAAAAAAAAUUGUCGCCGGUAGGGCCAGCUGGGCAGGCUCGAAUAGUACUGUUGGGAACUGUACAUUCCCAAAAUCUUAUUUAGCUUAAUGGUUUGCAAUUUUGUGUGUGGCAUAAUUUGAGCUUGAUUACACACUCGACCCAUUUACAGAAUUUGACAUAAAUUUUUAUCAGUGUUAAGUUACGCUAUCUAUAUCUGUGAUCACACGGUCACAACUUAAAUUUCCCUUAAUCUUAUAAGUCAUUUUAUUUUUUAAAUUUUUAUAACAGUCCUUAUAGUUCCGUAUCUUUAUAGUUCUGUUUACAAGCAGAGGCCUACGUUGAUUUACGAAAUAAAAUUUUCGUGCUGAUAGCUUGCUGGUUUUAGUGCUGCUAGGUUGGCCCUAUAGAUAGCACGCUUAAAAAUAAUUUUUAAACCUGAUUACACCAAUUAUAACCGGUUAAGGAAAAAAACAGGAAAAGAUUCAAGGAUGAAGAAACAACAAACUGCGAGUGCGUAAUAUGUUUAUUCACAUCAAUUUUGUAAUAGAGUAUAUAGGCUAACGUCCGAAGUUGCCAGUUCGCUGAAAUUGUGAAAAC